GUUUUAAUAGUUUAAAAUAAAAACAUUGGUCUUGUAAACCAAAAAUAAGAUAAUCUUUUAGAACU
rnacentral:tRNA from 1 species